CCGAAGUCAGUUGCGACGCGGCGUUGCUGGAGGUUAGUGUUGCCGUCGUCUUCAGGCGUGUUUGUGGUGUGCUUUGUUGGACGUUGUUGGAUAAAAUUGCCGAGUUUGUGCCAGACGUUUCAUCAGGUGGCAGACGUUUCAACAAUUGAUCCCGUAAGACCAUGGCAGAGCAAUCGACUUACGUCUGAUGGAGGUCAGUAUUAG